rnacentral:rRNA from 1 species
UACGGAGGAUCCAAGCGUUAUCCGGAUUUAUUGGGUUUAAAGGGUGCGUAGGCGGAAUAAUAAGUCAGUGGUGAAGUCCAGCAGCUUAACUGUUGAACAGCCGUUGAUACUGUUAUUCUUGAGUGUAGAUGAAGUGGGCGGAAUGUGUCAUGUAGCGGUGAAAUGCAUAGAUAUGACACAGAACACCGAUAGCGAAGGCAGCUCACUAAACUAUAACUGACGCUGAUGCACGAAAGCGUGGGGAUCAAACAGGAUUAGAAACCCG